rnacentral:rRNA from 1 species
UACGUAGGGCGCAAGCGUUGUCCGGAAUUAUUGGGCGUAAAGAGCUCGUAGGCGGCCUGUUGCGUCCGCUGUGAAAACCCGGGGCUUAACCCCGGGCUUGCAGUGGAUACGGGCAGGCUGGAGGCAGGCAGGGGAGAACGGAAUUCCCGGUGUAGCGGUGAAAUGCGCAGAUAUCGGGAGGAACACCGGUGGCGAAGGCGGUUCUUUGGGCCUGUACUGACGCUGAGGAGCGAAAGCGUGGGGAGCGAACAGG